rnacentral:rRNA from 1 species
CGGACGGGUGAGUAAGCGUGGGUAACCUGCCUCAUACAGGGGGAUAACAGUUAGAAAUGACUGCUAAUACCGCAUAAGACCACAGCACCGCAUGGUGCAGGGGUAAAAACUCCGGUGGUAUGAGAUGGACCGCGUCUGAUUAGUUAGUUGGUGGGGUAACGGCCUACCAAGGCGGCGAUCAGUAGCCGACCUGAGAGGGUGACCGGCCACAUUGGGACUGAGACACGGCCCAAACUCCUACGGGAGGCAGCAUG